UACGUAGGGGGCGAGCGUUGUCCGGAUCUAUUGGGCGUAAAGAGCUCGUAGGCGGUUUGGCAAGUCGGGUGUGAAAACUCCGGGCUCAACUCGGAGACGCCACUCGAUACUGCUAUGACUCGAGUCCGGUAGGGGAGUGCGGAAUUCCUGGUGUAGCGGUGAAAUGCGCAGAUAUCAGGAGGAACACCGGUGGCGAAGGCGGCACUCUGGGCCGGUACUGACGCUGAGGAGCGAAAGCGUGGGGAGCGAACAGG
rnacentral:rRNA from 1 species